CAAGGGAUCCUCUGCCUGGCUUCCCUGCAGCAUCACUGUGCCACAAUGGUUUCAUGAAUCCAGUAGCUGUAUCAGAAGCAAGCUUGCCUGGAAGUUCUGAAGCUGUGUUGGUGGUUGCAUCUUGAUUGAACCAGCAGGCUGAGAAGGAUUCAGAGCUCAGGUUGCAAGGAGCACACUGUAGUAAGGUGAGACACCUGCACAGUCUUCAUAUGCAUUGGGAACAGAAUUAGAGCCACAGAAUUCUGCAGGUGCCAUAUCCAGAAAAAGUACUUGCAAAAAGUAUUUAUUGAUGAUUGUGUAUGAUAAAUUAAUUUAUAAUUUUUCUUUUCUUGGCAAGAGUUACUUCACCUGUCUCUCACAGAAAAGGAAGACAAAUUUUGUAUUGCUUCUGCACACAUCUUUGUAAAGUUCUGGAUACAAAUUCUUUGCAUUUGGCGAUGGUGCAAAAAAGCUGAAGAAUGGAUUUUCAUUUUUAUUUUUCACAUCAAGGCUAAAGUGUUAGAAAGUGUAUUCUUUUCAGUUACAAAUAGAAGA